UACGUAGGGGGCAAGCGUUGUCCAGAUUUAUUGGGCGUAAAGAGCUCGUAGGUGGUUCGGUAAGUCGGAUGUGAAAUCUCCAGGCUCAACCUGGAGUGGUCAUUCGAUACUGCCGUGACUAGAGGUCGGUAGGGGAGUGUGGAAUUCCUGGUGGAGCGGUGAAAUGCGCAGAUAUCAGGAGGAACACCCGUAGCGAAGGCGGCACUCUGGGCCGAUACUGACACUGAGGAGCGAAAGCGUGGGGAGCAAACGGG
rnacentral:rRNA from 1 species